rnacentral:rRNA from 1 species
AUAUUGCACAAUGGGGGAAACCCUGAUGCAGCCAUCCCGCGUGUAUGAUGAAGGCCUUCGGGUUGUAAAGUACUUUUUGCAGAGAAGAAAAGGUACCUCCUAAUACGACACAAUGCCGACGGUACCCGCAGAAUAAGCACCGGCUAACUACGUGCCAGCAGCCGCGGUAAUACGUAGGGCGCAAGCGUUAAUCGGAAUUACUGGGCGUAAAGCGUGUGUAGGCGGUUCGGAAAGAAAGAUGUGAAAUCCCAGGGCUCAACCUUGGAACUGCAUUUUUAACUGCCGAGCUAGAGUAUGUCAGAGGGGGGUAGAAUUCCACGUGUAGCAGUGAAAUACGUAGAUAUGUGGAGGAAUACCGAUGGCGAAGGCAGCCCCCUGGGAUAAUACUGACGCUCAGACACGAAAGCGUGGGGAGCAAACAG